rnacentral:rRNA from 1 species
CCUACGGGGGGCUGCAGUGAGGAAUAUUGGUCAAUGGACGAGAGUCUGAACCAGCCAAGUAGCGUGAAGGAUGACUGCCCUAUGGGUUGUAAACUUCUUUUAUAAAGGAAUAAAACGAGGCACGUGUGCCUUUUUGCAUGUACUUUAUGAAUAAGGAUCGGCUAACUCCGUGCCAGCAGCCGCGGUAAUACGGAGGAUCCGAGCGUUAUCCGGAUUUAUUGGGUUUAAAGGGAGCGUAGAUGGGUUGUUAAGUCAGUUGUGAAAGUUUGCGGCUCAACCGUAAAAUUGCAAUUUAUACUGGCAGUCGUGAGUACAGUUGAGGUAGGCGGAAUUCGUGGUGUAGCGGUGAAAUGCUUAGAUAUCACGAAGAACCCCGAUUGCGAAGGCAGCUUACUAAACUGUGACUGACAUUGAUGCUCGAAAGUGUGGGUAUCAAACAGGAUUAGAUACCCCUGUAGUC